ACUGGCUCUGCAGCGAUAUUAACUAGCUUCCAGGAGGCGGAGGCCAGCGCCUCCCUGCAUCCCCGUCUCGGCAUUAAACCAAACGUGGACGCCCUUGAUAGACUUUUAAAGGGAAAGCAGGAAUCGUCCUUUACACUUCACCUGCUUUUUACAGCGCAGGGGCCUCUGACAUUUGUGUAAAAUCCACCCGCCAGGAACCGCAGGCUCAGAGCUCAGAAGCGCCCUGUCCUCUUCAGGAGCCCGGGGGCUGACGCCACUCCUUCGAGGGGGCCAAGGCUGAAAAAUCAGCUGGCAAAAGGCAGAUUAAUUGGAGAAAAGGCAUACACGUUUAUGUAACGUAUGUACACAGGAGCCUUCAGCAUAAAGAACGAACGUACAGGGGAACUUGUCCACUUUUAUGCUUCUGUCCAACAAAGUAUGGACGGCCGGGUAGAAUAUGAUCAGACAAGAAGGGUGUGAUCUAACGCUGAGACCGAGUGAGGACACCCAGCAAGGCCUGUCCGGCUAGAUUCUGCCUGGCCUCUCUGAGCACACAUUCCUUCCUUCUGGAAUGAGGGGGUCUUAUGACCAGCAGUCAAACAAGAGCAGAAUGCAGAGAAGAGAUCCAAUUAAUUAAUCGAUCACUUCAGUUAUUGGGUUUCUGGUUUCAAGAAGUCAAGAUCUGCUACUGAAAUGUGCCAAAAGGAGGACCACUCAAAAAGUGCAGCACUUCCUGAAGAAAGGCAGAAUAAAGCAGCUGACUGCAGAGGCCAGGACGGCAGCGCCAGUGAAGGCUUCACACUGGGAUCUCAAGGCGGUAGCUCACAAACUUGUCUUUUAAGGGUCCUAAGGUCAACCAGAUUGGGAGCUUUCUACAUUCUCUAACCCACCUCCGUGGAAAUGCCCCAUGCCUGCAGUGCCCAGGUGUGUAUCAAAAGCUUCGAAAAGUCACACAGCCAAGAAAUCUGCUGAAUUCUAUUCAGCCGAGGGUCUUCCAAACUAACUGGACCAUGGGCCCUCUCUUGGCCUGACACAGCCUCAAGCCACUCUGGGGAUCCUGACUUGGCAUGCAUGGCCAGGGAGAGCACUUCUGAGAGCAGGAUUGUCAUUCAGACAGGGGUGUGCAGACACGUGUUAGCAGUGGACACCAACACACGGUAAUUUUCCUGGGCACCAACUCUGAGGAAUGAAGUCUUUAAAGACUAGAGUAAAGCCAAAAAAAAGAGAGGUGGGUGCCUAAAUUGAUAAACGCCUGAACAUGAAGUCUCUGAAUUCUACUUCUCAGGGAACAGGAGGGCCUGGGGCAGAAUGAUGUCUGGGUGGUCAGAGGUCACGAAAGCAGAUUUUGGUCAAGUCUGAGAAAUGAGGCACAGGAGCUGCAUGGUGUGGUCUUCUCGUCUGUGAUAACAAUUUUCUGUGGUCCACUCAGGAUGUGUCCAGAAACUUGAGGGUUUGGGACAGGUUCACAAAAUCAGCACUUAAUACCCUUUAUCAAUGCCUUGGCUUAAAGAGCCAUUCAAACACCCAGAGUGUGUGUGAGGGAACACACAUGCAUGCACAGUGUGGCCUGAGACUCAACUGUAAGUCUGAGCUUAUGCUGCACCUGCUUUAUUUCACACAGAAUGUUAGAGUUGCUAGUAUCUACAUCCAGUCAUCCUUGACUCUAUCUUGGCCUCUAAAAUACCGGAGUUAAAAUUCUCCUACCACAUAGAGCAAGAUUCAAAUGCAAGGCCAGGAGGGAUUAGGGUACAAGGCAUGCUGAGUUACCCGUAGUCUGCUGGAGCCAUCGGUGCAGAGGCCUGGGACCCCUCUGGGGCCUGAGGGGGAGGCGGGGGGGGCGGCUGCUGAGGUCUGUUGAGGGCCAUGUGCCUCGCCGAGGCAGAUGGGGGCCGGUACUCAUGCUCCGCAGCCUGGCUUGCAGGCCCGUGUGGUGGCACGUCACCAGCUGCAUAGGAAGGGGUCACAGGCUGGGGGUGCAGAGAAUGGUUGGGAGUAGCCGGGUAAGAGUAAUCCGUAACGUCCGAUGCAUGUGACCUGGCAUUUGAAAACAAGAGGUGGGAGAAAUUUAAAUUAAUUUAAAAAUUGUCGGCUAACAGGCACAUGGAUGUAUUUGAAUAAUAACAUUGCUAAUACACAAAAAUCAGACAUUAAUUUGCUUUACUAUCAACUAGGUAUAGCCCCGUGAGAGAUUCCAAGCAACAACAUAAUUAUUAUAAGUCGGCAGCAAGCCCCAGUGUUACAUGGAUUCAGAUUCACAGCUUUGAAGUGAAUAAGUCAGACAGACCGGCAAGCAGGAAACAGCAGAGCCUCCUUUUCACAGUAUUUCAGCAUACGUUUUCUCUAAGAAGGCUAUGAAAGAAACCAUUCCAUUUAGAAACAGGAUAUAAGACAGAAGAUUUCAGUGGCAAUGAAACUGACAGCAUAUAAUUAGAAAAUAUAAAAUGGCAGGUUAACUGGAUAAAUAUUAACAGUAAGAACAGGAAAAGAAAUCGAGAAUGCAGUAGAGUGAAUCAUAUUUUUCUUAAACAGAAGAAAUGUACUUAACAAAAAGGGCAGAAAGCAAUGCGGUGCACUAUGGAAAGGCCUUCUUUCCAUAGUUUUCUUUGCACACAAACUGGGUGUGAAACUCCGAAAGGAAAGGGAUCUUGGAUUAGUGGAGCAGAGCUGAGACAUGGGGUGCAGGGACGGGAUUCCUGCUAAGCCCUCAGGAGGAGAGGAAGGACCCAAGUGUGGCAGCCCGGCAGUGCCGUGGGCGUUAGUAAGACAGUCACACGCUCCUGGCUCAGGUUACAGGACAUGUGGCCAGGAGGGGCUGUACAUCCUCUCAUGGCGGCAGAAGCAGGGGCAGUCUGAGUCUGGGAACCCAAAGAAAGCAAAACAACAAACCCGCUGGGCACUCUGUCCUCUUUGGCGCUCCCUGCCUGCUCCAGUUUCUUUGCGUCACUCAUAAACUCAAUGCCCAUUUUCCUUCUCUCCCACUCUUCUUUUCUUGUUCUGACUUUUCUCACAUUUACUUGCUGGUUUCUGUUAGGGUUCAGCUUGUGUUUCUCUCUCUGAAGGAAAUACCAAACACACAUUGGGGGUGCUGAGGGAGCAGGGAAGAUGCACGCUGCAUUUCCAUCUUUGGGAUUCCAGUUGGUAGCUUUUCUUAACUGGGGCACCAUGUGGCACAGAAAAGCCUUCCAAAUGAGAAGAGACAGCUUCUUUUCCUUUUUCCUUCCUUAAUUGAAGUGUAACAACUAAUAACUACUCAUUAUUUUCUUCCCUAAUUGCAGUAUGAAUUCUGGAUUAUGGUGCACUUCUGAUUAUGUCUUUUGAACUAGGUGAGCUGCUAGCAAAUGACUUAAAAAUAUAUUUAAUGGGGGAAGGACCUGACCUGUAUUUAGAUUUAGAGUAUUUUAAAAAUGUAAAUUCCUAUAACCCUUGGAGACACUGAUGAUGUGUGCUUGACUCUGCGCAUGACUACGAGUCACUGGCUUACAGUGCAACCUUUUAAAGGAAACAGAGUUCUCCAGCCAAACAUGGACAGCUUUCUGAUGAGAUGAGGGUAGGAAACUAUAAAUACUGUGGCAUAACUAGGAGGGCGAUCCCUAUCAAGGAGCCUUGCAACACAGGGUAGAAAGGAAGCAAGGAAAAGGGGCUAACCAGAUGGAGGCAGAAGUGAAGGAAGACUCGAUAAAUAUCUGAAGUAGAAACCAGAGAUUUCUACAGGGCAGAACCCUGAUGAAGGGUGCCCAUCAGGAGGACGGGGGCUGGGGGAAGAGGGGACUGGUCAGUUGAAGAGGGAAGGACCACAGAAAAGGGAUGUGCCAGCAGGCAGGAGGAGGAGGAGGGAGGAGCAGGCAGCUGUUGGAGAUGAGCCCCACUCCCAGUGGGGAGGCAGAAACCAGCUGCAGACGCACGGCCAAGGUGGAGGUGAGUGGAGAUCCCGAGGCCUCAUGAUGGUCAGUGAUCACCUAUUACAGAAGAGAGGACUGGGAGGGCCAGAGGCGACACUGACACGGGAGGAAGAGGACUGGGAGGGCCGGGGACGAUGGGAGGAGGAGGGCCGGGAGGGCCGGAGAUGACACCGACACGGGAGGAGGAGGAAGAGGGCUGGGAGGGCUGGAGACAACGCUGACAUGGGAGGAGGAGGGCCGGGAGGGCCAGAGGCGACACCACACGGGAGGAAGUAGGCACAGCAGCAGAGACUCAGUGUGAGAGGUCGAUAUAUCCCCCAGGGUUUUUUGGGUAGACAGGCGGGCAGCCAGAGAUCUGCACCAGGGCCCAGAACUGGAUGAGAAAAAACAAGGACAAUUGGGCAUGGAGGUGUGCGACUCCCUGAGUGGCAGUGACAGAGAGCUGGUCAUACAGCAGGCAAGCACUUCCCAGCGCUCAUCUUAAAUUUAUUCUCAGGAACAAGCCAUUCCUAACAAUCUAGAGAGAGAGCAAAAAUGUAAGAUGGGUUACGGUAUAUUACUUAUAUAAUAGCAUAUACACACACCAUGAAACCUGGUAUUUAAAUUUCCCUCAGUAUCUUGGAUGCACUCAGAUGAGCGGAUACAAUCAUUAAAAAUCAUGUUGCGAAAUAAUACCUAAAACAUGGGAUAUAAUUUCUAAAAGUC